rnacentral:rRNA from 1 species
AGCUCCAAUAGCGUAUAUUAAAGUUGUUGCAGUUAAAAAGCUCGUAGUUGAACCUUGGGCCUGGCUGAUCUGUCUUCCUAAACGUUGUACGGAUUCGGUCGGGCCUUUCCUUCUGGGGAAUCCUAUGUCCUUUAUUGGGCGUAGUGGGGAACCAGGACUUUUACCUUGAAAAAAUUAGAGUGUUCAAAGCAGGCCUUUGCUCGAAUACAUUAGCAUGGAAUAAUGAAAUAGGACAGCAGUUCUAUUUUGUUGGUUUCUAGGACCGCUGUAAUGAUUAAUAGGGAUAGUCGGGGGCGUCAGUAUUCAAUUGUCAGAGGUGAAAUUCUUGGAUUUAUUGAAGACUAACUAUUGCGAAAGCAUUCGCCAAGGAUGUUUUCA